rnacentral:ncRNA from 2 species
GCGCCUGCUCCGGGGUGUGCUGAUGCACUGAGAUGCGGGGGGCCUGACAUGCAGGCCCAGCCGCGAACCCGACGAACUUGAUCCGGUUCAUACCGGCGGAAGAAGAGCCGACCCCUCCAUG